GCGUUGGUGGUAGAGUGGUGAGCAUAGCUGCCUUCCAGGCAGUUGACCCAGGUUUGGUUCCUGGCCCACGCA
rnacentral:tRNA from 1 species